UACAGAGGGUGCGAGCGUUGUCCGGAAUCACUGGGCGUAAAGGGCGCGUAGGUGGUGGCUUAAGCGUGCGGUGAAAGCUCGGGGCUCAACCCCGAGUCGGCCGUGCGAACUGGGCUCACUGGAGCAUAGUAGAGGCAGGUGGAAUUCCGGGUGUAGCGGUGGAAUGCGUAGAGAUCCGGAAGAACACCGGUGGCGAAGGCGGCCUGCUGGGCUAUGGGCUGACACUGAGGCG
rnacentral:rRNA from 1 species